GGGGAUGUAGCCCAGUGGUAGAGCGCUCACUUAGCAUGCGAGAGGGCUCGGGAUCGAUGUCCGGCACUUCCA
rfam:Schistosoma haematobium scaffold1473_6, whole genome shotgun sequence.